UACGACGUACGAAGGUUUCGGAUCCUGGCUCAGGAUGAACGCUGGCGGCAGGCUUAAUACAUGCAAGUCGAACGGUAACGACCGGUAGCAAUACUGGGGCGACGAGUGGCGCACGGGUGCGUAACGCGUAUGCAACCUACCCUCAACCGGGGCAUAACGCCGAGAAAUUGGCGCUAAUAUCCCAUGUGUAUUGGAAGUGGCAUCACUAUCAAUAUAAAGAUCCGUUGGUUAAGGAUGGGCAUGCGUAACAUUAGCUGGUUGGCGGGGUAACGGCCCACCAAGGCGACGAUGUUUAGGGGUUCUGAGAGGAUUCACCCCCACACUGGAACUGAGACACGGUCCAGACUCCUACGGGAGGCAGCAGUAGGGAAUAUUGGGCAAUGGAGGCAACUCUGACCCAGCCAUGCCCGCGUGAAGGAAGACGGCCCUAUGGGUUGUAAACUUCUUUUGCCGCAGAGUAACCCGGGGACGCGUCCCCGCUGAGAGUAUGCGGCGAAUAAGUAUCGGCUAACUCCGUGCCAGCCGCUGC
rnacentral:rRNA from 1 species